rnacentral:rRNA from 1 species
GACGAACGCUGGCGGCGUGCCUAAUACGUGCAAGUCGAGCGGACAGAUAAGGAGCUUGCUCCUUUGAAGUCAGCGGCGGACGGGUGAGUAACACGUGGGCAACCUGCCUAUAAGACUGGGAUAACUCAGGGAAACCGGGGCUAAUACCGGAUAGAUUCUUUCCUCUCAUGAGGAAAGAAGGAAAGACGGUUUCGGCUGUCGCUUAUAGAUGGGCCCGCGGCGCAUUAGCUAGUAGGUAAGGUAACGGCUUACCAAGGCGACGAUGCGUAGCCGACCUGAGAGGGUGAUCGGCCACACUGGGACUGAGACACGGCCCAGACUCCUACGGGAGGCAGCAGUAGGGAAUCUUCCGCAAUGGACGAAAGUCUGACGGAGCAACGCCACGUGAACGAAGAAGGCCUUCGGGUCGUAAAGUUCUGUUGUUAGGGGAGAACAAGUACGAUAGUAACUGAUCGUACCUUGACGGUACCUAACCAGAAAGCCACGGCUAACUACGUGCCAGCAGCCGCCGUAAAAC